rnacentral:rRNA from 1 species
UACGUAGGGGGCAAGCGUUGUCCGGAAUCAUUGGGCGUAAAGAGCGUGUAGGCGGCUCGGUAAGUCCGCUGUAAAAGUCCAGGGCUCAACCCUGGAAAGCCGGUGGAAACUGUCGAGCUAGAGUCCGGAAGAGGCGAGUGGAAUUCCUGGUGUAGCGGUGAAAUGCGCAGAUAUCGUAAGGAAGACCAGUGGCGAAGGCGGGUCUCUGGA